GCUGAGUAAUGCUCUGGGAACUUGCCUUUAGGAGGGGGAUAACCACGGGAAACUGUGGCUAAUACCGCAUAAUGUCUACGGACCAAAGUGGGGGAUCUUCGGACCUCACACCUAAAGAUAGGCCCAAGCGAGAUUAGCUUGUUGGUGGGGUAAGGGCUCACCAAGGCGACGAUCUCUAGCUGUUCUGAGAGGAUGAUCAGCCCCACUGGGACUGAAACACGGCCCAGACUCCUACGGGAGGCAGCGGUGGGGAAUAUUGCACAGUGGGGGAAACGCUGAUGCAGCCCUGCCGCGUGUGUGAAAAAAGCCUUCGGGUUGUAAAGCACAUUUAGUGGUGAGGAAGGCCAUGUCGUUAAUAGCUGCGCGGAUUGACUUUAGCCACAGAAAAAAGCACCGGCUA
rnacentral:rRNA from 1 species